rnacentral:sRNA from 1 species
GCGGCCGCUCCUUCUCCGACCCCACUUCCAAGAUGCGCCACCUGGAGACCCACGACACGGACAAGGAGCACAAGUGCCCACACUGCGACAAGAAGUUCAACCAGGUAGGGAACCUGAAGGCCCACCUGAAGAUCCACAUCGCUGACGGGCCCCUCAAGUGCCGAGAGUGUGGGAAGCAGUUCACCACCUCAGGUAGGGCCAGGGCUGCCCUGGCUGCCCUCACACCCCUGCUCCUCAGCCACCGGUGGUGCCCCACGCCAGGUUCGCCCUCGGUCUCGCCACAGGGAACCUGAAGCGGCACCUUCGGAUCCACAGCGGGGAGAAACCCUACGUGUGCAUCCACUGCCAGCGACAGUUUGCAGACCCCGGCGCUCUGCAGCGGCACGUCCGCAUUCACACAG